AUAAUGACAGUAGAGAGAAAACGGGAAAAUUAAAAUAAAAUAUUUUUAUUAAAAAAUCAAAAUUAUAAAUUUUAAGUAAAAAAUCACUAUCUGCAGCAUUGAAAAAUUAAGAUAGAUAUUAAAAGUAAACUGGUGUAAAUAAAUAUCAAUCCUAAGUACACUGUUAUUCAAUUUAUUUUUAAAAAAUGCCUAAUCCAAUAUUUGAAGAGCCCAACUGUCGAGAAAAUCCAUGCUACCCGUGCUGUUGUGCUUCUGGUCCAAGAUGUUUCCCAUGUGGUAUGGAUGCAGUGACGCUGCGGCGCCCUCUCAUAGUCGGCGACAGUACCUUCGAAUAUCGAGCCACGAAUGAUCCAAGCAUGAUCCGCAACCGGCAAAACAAGAAAGUUCGAUACGUACUUGUUAAUUUUACUCAAAAAGUUUCCCCGCCGCCCCCAACGUGUCCUUCAUGUGCUCCGCGUUACAUGCACUUCUAAUGUUUUCGAGUCCUCCAAAGAAGUAUUUUUUCAAAAAAGAAGGUUAUCUAAAUUAUUUUGGUAAAAGUUAACCUUGCUUGAAGUAAGAAAAAAUGUGCGAUCGUAUGCGAGUAAUCAACCAGCUUCAAAAUGUUAUGUCUGCUAUCCAGGGAUGCGACAGCUGCUGCCAACCGCCUCCUUGCUGCAACGCCUGUUGCGGCCGCCCCUGCUGCCCCCCCUGCUGUCCCCCCCGCUGCCCCGGCUCGCUCGUCACAGUAUACAGUCAAGUAGCCCAUAUCCAGUGACAGGCACUGCGCUGAUCAAAUGCCAUCCUGGCGAUCGGUCAGCCUCCAGUACCGGUAGCAGCCUUCGACAAAGCAACCAUUGCGAUAGGAUGCCAUCAUUGUAAACAUUAGUCUAGCCGGUGUAUUGUGGUUCAAGUGAAGUGAAGUAAAUUAUUGUCAAGUGGUGUAACGUUAUUUAAAAAUAGGAAUAAAUUAUUAAUAAGUUA